rnacentral:tRNA from 1 species
GCCGCUGUGGCUCAGAGGCAGAGCAGCUCACUCGUAAUGAGCAGGUCGUGAGUUCGACUCUCACCAGCGGCUCCA